UGAUUUAGCGAUUGAAGGGCCGCAGUAUUUUGACUGUGCAAAGGUAGCAUAAUCAUUAGUUCUUUAAUUGAGAGCUGGAAUGAAUGGUUGGACGAGAAAAAAGCUGUUUCUUCUAGAAAAUUUGAAGUUAACUUUGUGCAAAGGCCUGAAUUUUGGGGGACGAUAAGACCCUAUAAAUCUUUACAGUUAUUUUAUUAUUUAAACAGUUCAUUUGUUUAUGUUAGGAAAUUAAUUGUUUCACUGGGGCGGUGCUUAAAUCUGUUUGAAAAAAAUACAAUUAUUUUUGUUGAAUUAAAGAUCCUUUUUAGAGAUUAUAAGUUAAAGUUACUUGGACAGCGUAAUUUUUUUCAAGAGUUCAUAUCUAAAAAAGAGUUUGCGACCUCGAUGUUGAAAAAUUUCCUAAAGGUUGUAGAA
rnacentral:rRNA from 1 species